AUUGAACGCUGGCGGCAGGCUUAACACAUGCAAGUCGAGCGGAGAUGAGGUGCUUGCACCUUAUCUUAGCGGCGGACGGGUGAGUAAUGCUUAGGAAUCUGCCUAUUAGUGGGGGACAACAUUCCGAAAGGAAUGCUAAUACCGCAUACGCCCUACGGGGGAAAGCAGGGGAUCUUCGGACCUUGCGCUAAUAGAUGAGCCUAAGUGGGAUUAGCUAGUUGGUGGGGUAAAGGCCUACCAAGGCGACGAUCUGUCGCGGGUCUGAGAGGAUGAUCCGCCACACUGGGACUGAGACACGGCCCAGAGUCCUUCGGGAGGCAGCAGUGGGGAAUAUUGGACAAUGGGCGGAAGCCUGAUCCAGCCAUGCCGCGUGUGUGAAGAAGGCCUUUUGGUUGUAAAGCACUUUAAGCGAGGAGGAGGCUACCUGGAUUAAUACUCUAGGAUAGUGGACGUUACUCGCAGAAUAAGCACCGGCUAACUCUGUGCCAGCCGCCGCCGUAACAC
rnacentral:rRNA from 1 species